rnacentral:rRNA from 1 species
GAGUCAUUGGGACUCUGUUAAACCUAAAGGCGCAAUGAAAGUAAAGGUCCGCCUCGCGCGGACCGAGGGAGGAUGGGCCCGUCCACGGGCGGGCCCCGCACUCCCGGGGCGUCUCGUUCUCAACGCGAGUAGAGGCGCACCCAGAGCGUACACGCUGGGACCCGAAAGAUGGUGAACUAUGCCUGGUCAGGACGAAGUCAGGGGAAACCCUGAUGGAGGUCCGUAGCGAUUCUGACGUGCAAAUCGAUCGUCGGAACUGGGUAUAGG